AUUGAACGCUGGCGGCAGGCCUAACACAUGCAAGUCGAACGAGUGGCGGACGGGUGAGUAAUGUCUGGGAACCUGCCUGAUGGAGGGGGAUAACUACUGGAAACGGUAGCUAAUACCGCAUACCAUCAGAUGUGCCCAGAUGGGAUUAGCUUGUUGGUGGGGUAACGGCUCACCAAGGCGACGAUCCCUAGCUGGUCUGAGAGGAUGACCGUAAAGAUGGGAACGGAGCCACGGGCCAGACUCCUACGGGAGGCACCAGUGGGGAAUAUUGCAAAAUGGGGGAAAGCCUGAUGCAGCAAUGCCGGGGGUAUGAAGAGGGCCUUCGGGUUGUAAAGUACUUUCAGCGGGGAGGCGUUACCCGCAGAAGAAGCACCGGCUAACUCCGUGCCAGCAGCCGCGGUAAUAC
rnacentral:rRNA from 1 species